GAUGAAGAACGUAGCGAAAUGCGAUAAUUAAUGUGAAUUGCAGAAUUUAGUGAAUCAUCGAAUCUUUGAACGCACAUUGCGCCCUCUGGUAUUCCGGGGGGCAUGCCUGUCCGAGCGUCAUUUGCAACCCUCAAGCCCGGCUUGUGUGAUGGGUGCCGUCCCCUACGGGACGCGCCCCGAAGGCAAUGGCGGCGUCGCGGUUAUCCGAUCAGCCAAAGUGUAUGGGGCUUUGUCACUCACUUUACGGCCCGGACCGGCGCCAGUCCGAAUCAAUCUUUUUUCUAAAGUUGACCUCGGAUCAGGUAGGGAUACCCGCUGAACUUAAGCAUAUCAAUAAGCGGAGGA
rnacentral:misc_RNA from 1 species